rnacentral:rRNA from 1 species
GAAGCGUGACAUGCGACGCUGCGUGGAGGAUGACGGCCUUAGGGUUGUAAACUCCUGUCGGGAGGGAAAAAUAAGCCCCCGGUUAAUAACCUGGGGAAUUGAUGGUACCUUCAGAGGAAGCCACGGCUAACUCUGUGCCAGCAGCCGCGGUAAUACAGAGGUGGCGAGCGUUGUUCGGAUUUACUGGGCGUAAAGGGUGCGUAGGCGGUCGAGUAAGUUGGAUGUGAAAGCCCAUGGCCCAACCAUGGAACUGCAUUUGAUACUGCUUGACUAGAGUACAGGAGGGGAGAGCGGAAUUCUUGGUGUAGCGGUGAAAUGCGUUGAUAUCAAGAAGAACACCGGUGGCGAAGGCGGCUCUCUGGAAUGUUACUGACGCUGAGGCACGAAAGCUGGGGGAGCAAACAGGAUUAGAUACCCUGGUAGUCCCAGCCGUAAACGGUGUCGACUUGGUGUGGGAGGAAUUAACCCCUUCCGUGCCGGAGCUAACGCGUUAAGUCGACCGCCUGGGGAGUACGGCCGCAAGGCUAAAACUCAAAGAAAUUGACGGGGGCCCGCACAAGCGGAGGAGCAUGUGGCUUAAUUCGAUGCAACGCGAAGAACCUUACCCAGACUUGACAUAUACCUGCACGUCCUGUGAAAGCAGGAUUCUUUCGAAGGUGGUAUACAGGUGCUGCAUGGCUGUCGUCAGUUCGUGCCGUGAGGUGUUUGGUUAAGUCCAGCAACGAACGCAACCCUUGUGACUAGUUGCCACCGGANGUGUUAAGCCUUCGAGCACUCUAGUCAGACUGCCCGUGCAAGCGGGAGGAAGGUGGGGAUGACGUCAAGUCAGUAUGGCCCUUACG